CUUCGGAACAGUCUUAAGAACAAACCCGUCUCUGUUGCAAAAGAGUGGGAUAAUUUCCAAGUAGAGGCGACAAACCUAUCGCACCCAGAGAUAGCUGGUUAUUCAAGAAAAGAAUUUAAGUUCAACCUUAAGUUUCUGUAUUAAACAAAAAACAAAACUUUAGAGCCACUCAAAUAAGGCACAGCUUAUUUGAGGCAGGAUACAACCUACAACACAGGGUAACAUAUAACAAAUAAAUAACAAGUAGGCCUAAAAGCAGCCAUCUUCAAAAAGCGUCAAAGCUUAAUAUUUAUUUUAUUCUAAUCCCAUCUCCCUUUACUAACCCUUCACCUAUAUUGAAUAACUCCAUAAACUUAUGGAAAUUUUUAUGCUAGAACUAGUAACAAGAAAUAGACUUUCUCCUAAAUGUAAGCUUAAGCCACAGCAGACAAACUAUUGGCAAUUAACGUAAAUGAGCACAAUACAGCAACCCUAACAAGAAAAUCCUGUACACACACAACGU
rnacentral:rRNA from 1 species